rnacentral:rRNA from 1 species
GUAAUUUGUAGAGGGUGCUUCGGGCGCGGCGCCGGUCUAAGUUCCUUGGAACAGGACGUCACAGAGGGUGAGAAUCCCGUACGUGACCGGCGACCAACCUCAUGUGAAGCCUCUUCGAUGAGUCGAGUUGUUUGGGAAUGCAGCUCUAAAUGGGUGGUAAAUUUCAUCUAAAGCUAAAUACCAGCCGGAGACCGAUAGCGCACAAGUAGAGUGAUCGAAAGAUGAAAAGCACUUUGAAAAGAGAGUUAAAAAGUACGUGAAAUUGUUGAAAGGGAAGCGCUUGCAAUCAGACUUGCGCGCAGGUGAUCAGCCGUCCUUCGGGGCGGUGCACUCGCCUGCGCUCAGGCCAGCAUCGGUUUUGGCGGCCGGAUAAAGCCCUCGGGAAUGUAGCUCCCUCCGGGGAGUGUUAUAGCCUGAGGCAUAAUGCGGCCUGCCGGGACCGAGGACCGCGCUUCGGCUAGGAUGCUGGCAUAAUGGUUGUAAGCGGCCCGUCUUGAAACACGGACCAAGGAGUCUAACAUCUAUGCGAGUGUUUGGGUGUCAAACCCAUGCGCGGAAUGAAAGUGAACGGAGGUGGGAACCUUUUGGGUGCACCAUCGACCGAUCCUGAUGUCUUCGGAUGGAUUUGAGUAAGAGCAUAGCUGUUGGGACCCGAAAGAUGGUGAACUAUGCCUGAAUAGGGUGAAGCCAGAGGAAACUCUGGUGGAGGCUCGCAGCGGUUCUGACGUGCAAAUCGAUCGUCAAAUUUGGGUAUAGGGGCGAAAGACUAAUCGAACCA